GACGAACGCUGGCGGCGUGCUUAACACAUGCAAGUCGAACGGAAAGGCCCCUUUGGGGGUACUCGAGUGGCGAACGGGUGAGUAACACGUGAGUAACCUGCCCUUGACUUCGGGAUAACUUCAGGAAACUGGGGCUAAUACCGGAUAGGAAUCCUUGCUGCAUGGUGGGGGUUGGAAAGCUUCGGCGGUUUUGGAUGGACUCGCGGCUUAUCAGCUUGUUGGUGGGGUAGUGGCUUACCAAGGCUUUGACGGGUAGCCGGCCUGAGAGGGCGACCGGCCAAAUUGGGACUGAGAUACGGCCCAGGCUCCUACGGGAGGCAGCAGUGGGGAAUAUUGCGCAAUGGGCGGAAGCCUGAUGCAGCAACGCCGCGUGCGGGAUGACGGCCUUCGGGUUGUAAACCGCUUUCAGCAGGGGCGAAGCUUGUGGUGACGGUACCUGCAGAAGAAGCACCGGCUAACUACGUG
rnacentral:rRNA from 1 species